UACGAAGGGGGCUAGCGUUGCUCGGAAUUACUGGGCGUAAAGCGCACGUAGGCGGAUUGUUAAGUCGGGGGUGAAAUCCUGGAGCUCAACUCCAGAACUGCCUUCGAUACUGGCGAUCUAGAGUCCGGGAGAGGUGAGUGGAACUGCGAGUGUAGAGGUGAAAUUCGUAGAUAUUCGCAAGAACACCAGUGGCGAAGGCGACUCACUGGCCCGGUACUGACGCUGAGGUGCGAAAGCGUGGGGAGCAAACAGG
rnacentral:rRNA from 1 species